CCCUUAGAUGUUCUGGGCCGCACGCGCGCUACGCUGACGCAUUCAACGAGUUCCUACCUUGGCCGAGAGGCCUGGGCAAUCUUUUGAACUUGCAUCGUGAUAGGGAUAGAUUAUUGCAAUUAUUAAUCUUGAACGAGGAAUUCCCAGUAAACGCAGAUCAUCAAUCUGCAUUGAUUACGUCCCUGCCCUUUGUACACACCGCCCGUCGCACCUACCGAUUGAAUGGUCCGGUGAAGCCUCGGGAUUGUGGUUAGUUUCCUUCAUUGGAAGUUAGCCGCGAGAACUUGUCUAAACCUUAUCAUUUAGAGGAAGGUGAAGUCGUAACA
rnacentral:rRNA from 1 species